rnacentral:sRNA from 1 species
AGGUGCAGGCUCCAGCCCGGGGAACUCUGGGAAGAGUGUACCCAGGCAGCAGGAGCUCAGAAAAGCACAGCCCUGACAGUGCCUGCUCUGUGGAUUACAGCAGCAGCUGCCUUUCCAGCCCGGAGCAUCCCACUGAAGACUCUGAGAGCACGGAGCCCCUCAGUGUGGAUGGCAUCUCCUCAGACCUUGAAGAGCCAGCUGAGGGCGAUGAAGAAGAGGAAGAGGAGGGAGGCAUGGGCCCCUAUGGGCUACAGGAGGGCAGCCCCCAGACUCCAGACCAGGAGCAGUUUCUAAAACAGCACUUUGAGACUCUGGCCAAUGGAGCUGCUCCAGGUGUGGUCAGAGGACCAGUAUUUAGUGCCUGCAAUUUGCCCUUCUCCCCUCCUUGCCUACCUGAGAGGAGGGUCCCAGGGUAUAGGCUGUGGCUGGGGGUCUCAAGGAGGCAAAAUCUGGGGCAAGGGCUUGGUUUUUGCCCCAAUUCAUGAUUUCUCUGACCCUGGUAGGGGCCCCAGUGAAGGUGCCAGAGAGGUCAGAGUCUCGGAGUAUCUCUUCACGAUUCCUGUUGCAAGUACAG